GGUAACAAAAUAGCCAGUGUAAUCUGACACUUCAACUUGCCGUGCUGCACGGUAGUUGAUUCAGUCAGUCAGGCAGUCAGUCAGUCACACUGGCUUCAGCGCUCCCACGUCUUCUUUGUGAAGUGAAGGGAGCGGAGGAGAGGUGCGCCGUAAACACGCGGUUUGGAGGAGACAAUAACGCGGCUUCGCCUCUGAGCUUUCACCUAAAAAUCUCCUCUUAAGGAGAGGUCAGCGGAGGAUCGUGCGUGAGAAAUAAAUGAAGGGCGGGGCAGGGGAGGUGGUAGCAGCAGAACCACUGAAGACACAGAGUCCCUCUGUGAUUGAUGAGGAUUAAGAAACAGAUUUUGCUUAAUAGCAAACUCCAGAGCCACCUGAUCCAAACUGAGUACAACAAAAACUUUUAAUGGAGUUCCGGU